GACUCAUUCUGAAGAUGACUCUGCAAGCAUGGAGUUCAUUCCAGAGGAGGUUAGAAUCACUCAGCAUGAAGAGAGGGUGUAACAGGAUGUUGUCUCUGCUGAGGAAGUGGGGCUGCCACCCGAUGGAUUGGAUGGAUUGUCGGUCAUCCCCGCAGGAGAGGCUGGGCCAGGUUGUGGUGCGUCCAACCCCCAGCCCUCUGGGCAGACCGGUUGUGAUCUAAGUCAUUUCAAGGGUUUCUCAAUGGACCGAUUGCCAGAGGUUGGGGUGUCAAGAAUUUGGGGUAUCAAGGUUAAGUACAAAACAUGGAUCUUUGUCUGACAAGACAGGCUGGCCGCUGACUGUUAAAUACUUCCCCACAAAAGGGACAAGCCCGGAGCCAGGUUACCGGCCCACACCGCAAGACAGGCUUUCUUUUAGGAAAUGGACAAAGCUCUAUGACCAGAACAAGCACUUUGGGGAAUUUAAAUUUGCUUUCCCUGACACGACUCCACUUUCAUCACUACCCCUGAACUUAAGGGGCAUCCAAACCUCAGUCUCAGCAGUUACACUGCACAGAGGAUCUUCAGGGCAGUGAAGCUACUCUGCAUGGCACUGUCAUGGUGGAUAAGAGUCAGUGUACAUCUGUGCAGACCCAGAGGAUGAACAACACCUAGAGCGAGCCCUCGUGUAAACCACGGACUCCAGGCAAUGAAGACGUGUCCAUGUGGGUUCACCAAUGGUAACAAAUGCACCACACUUGCUGGUGGGGGGUGGCUAUGCGUGCAGGGGAGAGGGGACAGGCAGCGAAUGGCAGGUGUCUGUACCUUCUGUG
rnacentral:lncRNA from 1 species